rnacentral:rRNA from 1 species
UACGGAGGGGACUAGCGUUGUUCGGAAUUACUGGGCGUAAAGCGCACGUAGGCGGAUUUGUAAGUCAGGGGUGAAAUCCCGGGGCUCAACCCCGGAACUGCCUUUGAUACUGCGAAUCUCGAGUCCGGAAGAGGUGAGUGGAAUUCCUAGUGUAGAGGUGAAAUUCGUAGAUAUUCGCAAGAACACCAGUGGCGAAGGCGGCGCACUGGCCCGAUACUGACGCUGAGGUGCGAAAGCGUGGGGAGCAAACAGG